rnacentral:rRNA from 1 species
ACUCAAAGGAAUAGACGGGGGCCCGCACAAGCAGUGGAGUAUGUGGUUUAAUUCGACGCAACGCGAAGAACCUUACCAGGGCUUGACAUCCCCGGCGAUCGGUAGAGAUAUCGAGUUCUACGGAGCAAUCCGUGGACCGGGAGACAGGUGGUGCAUGGUUGUCGUCAGCUCGUGUCGUGAGAUGUUGGGUUAAGUCCCGCAACGAGCGCAACCCCUGUUGUCAGUUGCCAUCAUUAAGUUGGGCACUCUGGCGAGACCGCCGUUGACAAAACGGAGGAAGGUGGGGAUGAGGUCAAAUCAUCAUGCCCCUUAUGUCCUGGGCUACACACGUACUACAAUGGCACUCACAGAGGGCAGCGACACCGCGAGGUGAAGCGAAUCCCGAAAGUGUGUCUCAGUUCGGAUUGCAGGCUGCAACUCGCCUGCAUGAAGCAGGAAUUGCUAGUAAUGGCAGGUCAGCAUACUGCCGUGAAUACGUUCCCGGGCCUUGCACACACCGCCCGU